UCUUUCUCUCAUACUCUUGUUUUUUUUCCUGAUGUGUGGGCCCCGCAAUCAUCACCAACCUUCAGCCAGAGUUCAUAUCACGUACGCCGAUGAACCAGAACCGAAAACUGCCCAGAAAAAUCUCCGAUUCGGCUCAGAUUUUUGCCCCUCUGCCACGAAAUUCCCCCAUAAAUACCCAUGUAUCCCCUUUGUUUUUCCCCUCCGAAAAUCUAAUUUGGUUGCCGCCAGGCUGCCUCGAUUUCGCUCGCCGGAGUUCGACAUCUGCCACGGCGCCAUCGCCGAUUUCAGCCGCCAGACAACCUCCGUGACGACGACAUCCACGACGCCACCGGAGCUCGUCGCCGCGUCUGUGACUUCGGCCGAGCAGCAGGACACGGAAGUUGACGUUGACCACGCCCCCGCAUCAUCUCGACGAGCCCCGUCUUGUACGCGUUUUUUUUUCCCUAGCCGAAAGAGCGCCGGAGAUCCGCCGCGGAGCAAGUCCGAUCCGUCACUGCCAGUAUUGUCCGGAGUGCAACGAGUGCGACUGCGGUGAUUGUCUGAACAAUAACGAAGGCAAGUGUCACACACCGUUCUAUCCUACUAUUUUUCUAUGCACUUUGUAGUUAUUUUCAGUAGCUAUCCAUGUGUAGGAUUGUUUUAAAUAUAUAUUGCUAUGCUAUGAACACCUAUUAGAACAGCCACAUGUUCAACAAUUGAUUCUUUUGUCGCCACCGUGUUGUUGUUUGCUUAGCAAUGCUAUCUUAGAUGCGUGGAUUGGGUUAUCAUGAUAAGUUUAGAUGAAUAAAAUUAUAUGUUUUGAUAUAAUGAAAACAACCUGAAUAAUGAAACACCUGGACGGAUUGGUAAGACGGGAGCGUCUGCACGGUGAACAAUGGUGGGGAUUGCCGCCCAGGGAUCAAAGAGAUUGGACAGGUUUCUUGUUUAGUAGCUUCCGUGUACAGCCGCAUGUCAUAUGGGCUCUGGCUUGACUAAUUAAGUUGUAGGAACCCGACCUGACGUGACUAGCAGAUGUAGCUGUGUAGGUUGGCAUGGGUCCGUCCAGAUGGCUUGGGGUCCUACUUCUGAAAACGGUCUCGACUUAGUCUUUUCCCGACCAUUUGAGCAAAUUGAGCAUCAUGGUAAAAGGGGCUGACUAGGUCAUGUGGGUAAAGUGUACAAUCCUCUCGAGAGUGUCAAACUAAGUACUUAGCCGUGUCCCCGGUUACGGACAACUAUGAGCAACUAGGCAUGUUACUGUUUGGAAGAUCUCAGCAUUCCAAUUUCUUAAUAAAACUUGAUGGGAAACAAUGGGUAUAGGAGCAUGCAAAGCUAGGCUGGCUUGUGUCUACAUGGGUCUAUGCUAGCAUGUCCAUAGAUGUUUAGGAGCAUAUGAAGCCGACUGUCUUGCUGCAGCAUGGGUUGUGCUAAUAUGUUCUUAGACGAUGUUUCUAAAUAAAAUGAUUUAUAAAGGAUAGGGAAACUAUUGCUUUCUGCAAAUUAGCCUAAACUCCACCUGCCAAAUGAGCACGUAGUUGUUAGGUGCCAUUAUAUAUAUAUCCACCAAAUAGUGACAUUUGCCAAUACAAUUCCAAAUGUAUUGACCCUGCGUGGUUGCAACGUUUUAUGUUGCAUGUUACCCCGAGGACGAGUAAGGUAUCGAUUUUAGGUCGCGAGCUUCCACUCAACAUGUUCGCCUGUGGCGUGAUGGAGCUCUUUGAAUUUAUUUGUUUUCCGCUUUGAACUCUGUUAUUUGAGCUAGCCAUGAGCUAUGCAAGUUGUAAUAAAUAUAUUUUGGAUCAUACGUUGUAAUAAAUGACGCAUUUGCUAUUCUGUUUA